GGAUUCCCCUUAUAACGGCGAGUGAAGAGGGAAGAGCCCAGCACCGAAGCCUGCGCACUUUGCUGUUAGGCAAUGUGGUGUUUGGGUCGGCUCGUGGGAUCACCACUCCACUCGAAGUCCAGCAUUGAGUAUGGUUUCUGGAUUUGGCCCAGAGAGGGUCAAAGGCCCGUACGGUGGAGUAUCAGACAUGUGAGGUGGUUCACCAGGUCGACCUUAGAGUCGGGUUGUUUGGGAAUGCAGCCCAAAGCGGGUGGUAAACUCCAUCCAAGGCUAAAUACUAGCACGAGUCCGAUAGCGAACAAGUACCGUGAGGGAAAGUUGAAAAGUACUCUGAAGAGAGAGUAAACAGUACGUGAAACCGCAUGCAGGUAAACGGGUGGCGUCAAGCUGCAAACCCAGAGGAUUCAGUCGGCUAGGUUGUUGUGUAUGCGCCUGGCGCAUCUAUCAGUCGGAGUAUGAUUGGAUUGUCCACUAGUAAACAGUGGGCCUGGCCGCAAGGCUAGGAUAUGUGUACCGGGUGGGUGCCGGAGCAUGCAAUCUGUCUGUGGACUGUCUAGCCGGUGCACUUUCUCUGUGGUUGACACCACGACCGGUGGUAUUGCCAGUCUACUGUGUCCAAGUCGUGCUUGGUGGGUCCUCGUGGCUUACUGGGUGCGAUCACAGGCAAAUUCAGUGAACGGCGUAGAGGUGUUUCGGCACUUUUGCGUGUUAUCGGCCACUGGUUGUCAACGGGCCUGCCCGAUGCUUGUUGUAACCGGCAUUGGGUGGCUCGGUGGGGCAUGGUGGUAAGAAUAACUGUGCAAGGCACCGGAGUUCUCGGCCUCAAAUGCGCCCUGCACCCACGUUGCAAGUGGUGUUAUCGGCGAUGUCGUCGCUGCCUGCUCGGUGUUGAGUGUGAUUGGCGUGUUGCCUGCGCAAAGUAGGCCCGCCAGUGGCUCGGCUCGAGAUGGGUAGUUGGCGGGGUUGUCGGUGUGGGGCGUUGUGGGCCAAAUAGUCUGUGGUGUUGU
rnacentral:rRNA from 1 species